GAUGAACGCUGGCGGCGUGCCUAAUACAUGCAAGUCGAGCGAACAGACGAGGAGCUUGCUCCUCUGAUGUUAGCGGCGGACGGGUGAGUAACACGUGGAUAACCUACCUAUAAGACUGGGAUAACUUCGGGAAACCGGAUCUAAUACCGGAUAACAUGUUGAACCGCAUGGUUCAACAGUGAAAGACGGUCUUGCUGUCACUUCUAGAUGGAUCCGCGCCGCAUUAGCUAGUUGGUAAGGUAACGGCUUACCAAGGCAACGAUGCGUAGCCGACCUGAGAGGGUGAUAGGCCACCCGGGAGCUGGGACACGGUCCAGACUCCUACGGGAGGCAGCAGUAGGGAAUCUUACGCAAUGGGCGAAAGCCUGACGGAGCAACGCCGCGUGAGUGAAGAAGGUCUUCGGAUCGUAAAAAUCUGUUAUUAGGGAAGAACAAAUGUGUAAGUAACUAUGCACGUCUUGACGGUACCUAAUCAGAAAGCCACGGCUAACUACGUG
rnacentral:rRNA from 1 species